rnacentral:rRNA from 1 species
AACGAACGCUGGCGGCAUGCCUAACACAUGCAAGUCGAACGAUACCUUCGGGCCUAGUUGCGCACGGGUGCGUUACGUGUUGUAACCUGCCCUUAGGUUCGCCAUAACUCCCCUAACGGCGUGCUACUACCGUAUAUUCUUUCCGGUCCAAAGAUUUAUCGCCGUUGGAUGGGCCCGCGUUGGAUUAGCUAGUUGGUAGUGUAAAAGCAUACCAAGGCGACGUUCCAUAGCUGGUCUGAGAGGAGGAUCAGCCACACUGGGACUGAGACACGGACCAGACUCCUACGGGAGGCAGCAGUGGGGAAUAUUGGACAAUGGGCGAAAGACUGAGCGAGCAAUGCGGCGUGAGUGAUGAAGGCCUUAGGGUGGUAAAGAUCGUUUACCCGGGAGGAUAAUGACAGUACCGGGAGAAUAAGCUCCAGCAAAAUCAGUA